rnacentral:lncRNA from 1 species
GGCACACAUUCUCGCUGGGCAGGAUCCCUCCCCUUGCUCUGCCAAACGCAUCCUCCAGACGAACGCUGGACAAAACCACUUUCCCCGCUCCGGAAGCGCAGCCCCUGCCAGGGCGGCCGGUCCCGGGCCGCGAGGCGCGCGGCUCUGCGCCCGGCCGGGUCACCGCGGCCGCGCGCACCCGGCCNNNNCUUCCUGCCGCCGGGCUUCACGUGGGGCCGGCGCCGCCAACACGAGCGCGCGGGCAACGGCCCCGGCCCGCCGGGGCUCCGGCUGCGGCCGCUCUGCGCGCCGCCCUCCGCCCCGACCCUCCGCCCCGACCCUCCGUCCGUGACGGGCGCGACCUACCUCGCUGCAGGUCCGCCACAAGCAACUCCUCCGCUCGCCGGCCCGGCCGCGAACUGCCCCAGAGCAUGCGCUCUGCAGGCCUCCGGCCCCGACCCCGGGCCAGAAAGGAAAACAAAGAGCCCGGCGGCCCCUGGCGGCCGCCCCGCGAAGUGCAAGUGGCGCGCUCGGGCUAGAGCGCUCUUGACCAGGCUCUCUCCGCCUCUGCCCCGGGGACUGUGGGGGUCCCCGUCAGAGAAAGAUGAGAAAUCAGACCAUCAACAACCACGCAGGGCAUCCGGCUCAGCCUGGGGCUUAAGAAAGGCUUCCCAAGGUAAGUCUAAGAGGGCAGGGCAUCUAGGAGAUGCAUCCCUUGCGAUGACAGGGAGCGAUGACAACCUAGGGUGGUUGCGGGAAACUGCCAAGGUGUGACUUGCGCAGAGGGUGCCUGUGGGAGUGCAUGGAGAAUGCUCCAGAGGGUAGAGGCAGGAGUCAGAUCAGGAUGCAGGGCCUCAAGUGUCCAAGGAGUACAGCCUCUAUCCCGAAGCAGUGGGGAAUUAGGGAAGGGAUCUGAGCAAGGGAGUGACAUGAGCAGAAUUUUGUUUUAGAGCAAAAUGGAGAAUGGAUUGGGGGAAGGGGAAACCAAGAGUCGGGGUAGCAAGAGAAGCAAAGGAGACCACCUAAGAAAGAAGCUCAGGUUGUGGAUUGGGGUUGGGUGCUGAAGAUGGGAAAAAGGCAUCAAGUUGACCAUGCUCUCUUGUUAACACGCUCCUUCUUCAGGAUGGACACAGACAGUUCGGGAUUUCAGGUGUUCCCUAAAGUGACCUCUCAGGCCAUUUGACUGUGUCGGGGGAUUUCUGAAGUCAGGGCAGGGACCUCUGCAGAAGGGUAUUUUCUCCAUUUCAUGCUGAUUCUGACUCUGAAAGUCAUUUAAUCAUACCUGAACUCUGGAGGGACACUUUUGAUGAGUAUUUACCAACCGAAUUUCUCCUAGGAUGUGGAGCCCACCCAGAGCACUCCCAUCUUCAGGGUCUCUUACCUCUCCAAAUUUACUUCUGCCUCCAUCAUGGACUCCUCUUUUGGAUGAUAUUCUGUGAAAUUUCUCCAAGUUUUAACCCUGGAUCUUUGAUCUCUCUGCUGUCUUCUUCCAAGAUCUUACUCAUUCACAUGGCUUAAUAUAAUUAUAAGAAUGAUUAUUAUCACCCAUUUUGUAAAACCCUUUACUUCGUUAACUACAGAAACACAUCCACCCAUGUCCACGAGUUCAUUUGUUCCUUACACAACCUCAUGAUUGUUGGAAAAUGAGAAAAAUGAGGUUCACAGAGCCGAGGCAAGUUCUCUGGGGUCAGCACACGAGCAGAAGAAGAUUCUUGUUCUUUCAACUGAGAUGAUGGUCCUUUUGGUCUGGGUCUGACUUCCACCCUAAGUUUCAGCCCUGUAUCUCUUCCCAGAAGACCCAACUCCUAAAAUAAAACAUGUUUUGUAUGGAUCUAGACUCCCCUCCCAACUUCAUCCUUACAGCCAAGAUUAAGGUUCUUUGAGAAGUAAAGAUUUAAUCCUUCUUUUCUGUUUCUUCCUUCUUGUCUCCUCUUCAUGUUUCUGUUUCUGCCCCUCUGGUCUAAGGCACUACCCUCCUGGCCUCUGCUCCUGCCCCUCAUCCCUUCCCCCCCAUUUUGUUCCACCUAGGUCCCCACAUUAGUCUCCCUAAAUCAUGGCUGUGAGAACUUGCCCUGCUUCAGAAUCUUUAAAGACUCAGAUAUUUCUUCAGUGCUGUGCUUGGAACACCAGGUGGCAAAUGCCCCGGGUUGUUGAUUUCCCCAUUUUCCCCUUCCCCUCUGCACUGUACUCUGAAUGGGCCCAUGUUCUUUCUACCUUCUCACCUUUAUCUGGGCUGUUUUCCCUAACAAGUGCCUUUCUUCCUGCCUUGCUGAGCUCUUGGUAUAUCUUAAGGCUCAAUUCAGUCCCCAUCUCUGUGAAGCCUUCCUUGGCUCCGCUUUAUCUUUUCC